GACGAACGCUGGCGGCGUGCUUAACACAUGCAAGUCGAACGGAAAGGCCCUGCUUUUGUGGGGUGCUCGAGUGGCGAACGGGUGAGUAACACGUGAGUAACCUGCACUUGACUUUGGGAUAACUUCAGGAAACUGGGGCUAAUACCGGAUAGGAGCUCCUGCUGCAUGGUGGGGGUUGGAAAGUUUCGGCGGUUGGGGAUGGACUCGCGGCUUAUCAGCUUGUUGGUGGGGUAGUGGCUUACCAAGGCUUUGACGGGUAGCCGGCCUGAGCGGGUGACCGGCCACAUUGGGACUGAGAUACGGCCCAGACUCCUACGGGAGGCAGCAGUGGGGAAUAUUGCACAAUGGGCGGAAGCCUGAUGCAGCAACGCCGCGUGCGGGAUGACGGCCUUCGGGUUGUAAACCGCUUUCGCCUGUGACGAAGCGUGAGUGACGGUAAUGGGUAAAGAAGCACCGGCUAACUACGUG
rnacentral:rRNA from 1 species